GUUGUUUGGAGCACUGGAGGAUCUUAUUAGGCAAAAAGAGGCUUGGGUAAUAGGAUGUUGCAGAGGAUAAAGCCGUAGACAUGAGCAGUCCUAAUCGGCAUAGAAAGCAGCAGCUUGAGGUUGUCAAACAUGACCGUUUCUUUUCAUUUGGGCCUCUGCUCUUCCAUAAUCGUGUCAGUCGGGCUAUUUACUGAACCUGCCACUUCCGCAACUUCUAAAUGUUGUUUUAUUAUUCAGAGUGUGCAGAAUGAUGCUCUUAUCUGGCAUUGUUCCUGACAGAUGUGGUCUCCACUGCUGGAAACAUCUAUUUCAGAGUCGCAUUAUCAUUCAAUUCGCACUAACCAAAAUUCCGGGCCGAUUGUCUGCGUUCCCUGCAGCCGACGGGCUUCAGUGCUACGGCUGCAACAUAAUCCACGGGCAGCGAUAUGUGGACGUGGGCUGCUCCAACCCCGAGGUUAUCACCUGUGCCCACUCGCACAAAGGCUUCAAACACCGCUUCUGCAUCAAGACAGAGAGCACUACCCUGGGCAUCGUUCUGACCAGCGGCUGUGCCACCUCCAGGCACUGCCAGCAGCAGGAGCUGCCCGGGGUCCGCAUCCACUGCUGCGACUCGGACAUGUGCAACAGCGCCCCCUCCCGGCACGCAGGCACACUCCACUACAUCAGCGCGCUGUUCAGCCUCCUGCUGCUGAGGAUGUUGUGAUAUGAGGAGUGAAACGCGACGUGGACUAUGGGGGACGCAUUUAGCGCUAGCAUCUGUUACUGCUGGCAUGUAGGGCUGGAUGGAGCUGAUUCAGAACGGAGUUGCUGGAGAACACCUUGUGUACAAUUCUAUUUUGUACGGGGGAAAAAACCACAGUACAUAACUUCUCUGUGGUUAAAUCACAGCACAAUCAUGAAGAGCCCUUCAUCUGAUGGGAUGCUCCAUAGUGUUUAAAAAUAAGACAAAACACUUUGAGAUUUGGUGUGAGAUACGUCAUGGGUUAGUGUUGGGUUCAAGCAGGAGGGGGCAAAAUUGAGCUUCUUUCUCAGAAAGAUUACAUUAAAAGUGGAAGCCAGAGACCAAAUUCUACAUUACAGACAAUUUCCAGGGGCAAGUGGGCAGAAAUGGGUCAAAACCGUCGCUAUUGUGUCAGUAACAGUAAAGUUAGGGUUCGUUUUUUUAAAUUAAAUGUACGAUUUUGCACGGGAAUGCAUCUUGACAACUCAAGACAGUUAUUUAGAGGGAUUCAUUUAACAUUUAUAGAAAAUAGAACUUGUGGUCUCCCACCAAUGGGUCCAAACAACUCUCCAGACAACUGUUGGACCAGGCAUUUUAGCUCCAUGGUGACAGUUGUCGACUUAUUAAGUUAUUCAACAUAUAUCACCGCAUUCACAGAUAAGUAAACAUGUUUUUCACUGCCUAGAGUCAGACUCCAACUCUGUCAUUUCAUCAAAAAUAAAUUCCAUUGCGUAUGUUUCUCUAUACAGUCGCUCAAACAUUUGUGUGCAGCCAUUCAUUUAAGGUCACAGUCUGUCCACAUUGACCUUCUCUUUCCUUUAGUGGACGGCGUUCCAGGCUAAUCUGCAUGUGGUUUUGUGUAGAACUGUAAAAACAAAGCAGAUAUUGUAAAGUGAAAGCAUGUUGUGUGUUGCUGUAUUAAAAGCUUUCUUAUUUUUCAAAAGAAAAAAACUUUGGAGUUUUUGUUACAAGGUCACAUUUGGAGCUGGGAGGAGUAAACGGCAGCAUACUAGCUGCUCGCACAGUAUGUUAAAAGCAAGUUAAACAAAAAGAAAGCCAAUAUUUACCUCCAGUUAGUUAUACUAUCCAAACAGGUGCUAUGUAACCUGCACCUUUAGGAACCUUUAACUGUAAAACGCUACUCAUUUCAUGUAUUUCUUUCAAAUGGGCUGCCAGCUGAAGAACAUGUGCAUUGAGUUAGACUGAUAUUCUGAAUAAACAAACAAAUAAACAAACAAACAAACAAAUCCGAGCCCGUGCACAAGUUAAACUCUGACGCUCAGCCAUGGAGGCCAAGUUAACGCCUCGCCUUUCCCCAACGCCACGGCUUGAUUCUCCGAGAUGCUGCGCCGCUGUCGGCACGCGUCCGCGCGCACGCACCUGUGCAGGUGAGGCGGUGUUGGGAUAAAAGCCGCAGACGAGGCUCUUUGUCCCCGGAGCCCACUGCACACAGCGGAGGAAACCCUGUGCCAUGAGCGGCCAUCUUGGACAGGCAGAUCAUACUUGAGCCCGGAUAACCUGCCUUCCUCCUCCUAAACAGCUGAAUAACGCAGAGCUAAACUUGAUUUCUGGUAAGGACGGAAAACACGGAAUAACGGAAGGCGCACACGCACGCCUAUAGGAUGACUGACAUCGGCCGACUGAGUGAUGUUUUAACGAUUAGGGAGUUGGUCCAGCUGAACUAGCCGGGAGUAAGCUAAUUGUUAAGGCUGUCCGCAGCAGACGGCUAAUCUUAGAUAGCUGUUUAUUGUUACUUUCUUGGGGUUGUCUACAUUGGCAGUGUUAUUACAAAGGGUGGCCUGUGGUAGAAUUGACAUUUUGACUAUGAUGGCGUGACGCGUCAAGACACAAAUCAAUCAGACGUUAUUAGAAUUCACCCACUGCGCGCAGCUAACAGCAGCUAUCGCUAGCUGGCGUCAGUCACUUUAGGUUUGUAUUUGCGUCUGUCUGAGUAAACAGACGACACUAUGGUUUUACUAACUGGUGAUUCUAACAAAGUGCCAGUGAAACCAUCGUGUACGGAUGUGCGCGCGUGCGUGCAUUCGGAUUUUUGCUAGAACGUCAGGUGUUUUGGUGCUACUCAUCGUAGCAUCCGAGGAUGACAGCAACCAGGUGACUAGUUACCGCUAGCUGUGAUGACAGCGAUCACAGGGCCGAGGUUUUUAUGAGACACGAUCACGUAACGUCAUUUUAUGAACCAGUUAACUAGGAGAUUUUAUGUCUUUACACGGUGCGAACCACCGCUUGCUUUUGUGUAAUUUUGCGAGCCCGAAGCUGCCAUCGUGCCGGUCGCUAUGCUAAGCUAGCUAAAUUGGAGCUAACAUGACGUUAGUGUUAAAUUACAGAGGCAACAUUAUAACAUGUUUGUGUAUCGUCGCAUGUGCAAACGUAUAUCAUUCUACAUAAACGUACAUAUUGGGUUGCUUCGGGGUAAAGAAACAAAAUGCGGCUUUUUAGUUGCGCUCAGUCGUGUUUAGCAUGCAGAGGAAAUUAUCAAAAUAAAUAAUUCAAAGAAUUAAAAUGGGUUCGCGAAAAAUUCCACCCAUUAAAAUGAGAAGCGUGCACACACAGGCCACAGCUUAAAACGCAUUAGGUUUCUUGUCUUUUUAGGGCUUUAGACUACUUUUUGUGUGUUCAGGGCAUUAAUGGGGUCACGUGAUUUCCGUGCACCGUGUCACUGUCAUGAUUUCCUGAUGACCAAGAUAUCGGACCUACUCAUAAGUCAUGCAUCAUCCACGGGAAGUGGCUGUCGAAAGUGGGAAAGACUUUGUUCCCGUUUAUCCGGAGAAAUAUUCCGUUUGCAAGUGACCUGCUGAGGCUGCAGUCUUGUCACGUGAUCUUGACUUCGCUUUAACUCGGUUUAAAGGAGAGGCCCUCAAACUUGUGUAAUUUACUCCCCCCCCCUGCCGAAACCUAAUCAGAGCAUCGUUUAGCUUGAGCGGGAACAACAGGGCAGUUUGGAUUGCAGAAGGGGGGAAAAAACUAAACGUAAAGGAGUAAAAACGCCUCGCAGGAACAAAUCGGAGGCGUUAAUAAACAAUGAUGUGGAACAGUGAUGCAAAGCUGGUAUUACGCUGGCGUCGGGGCUAUUUUUAGUCGGGCUCUGUGAAGCUGUAGGGUUCUAUUCACAUAACUCAGUUAUAGACAUUAGACAAACUCCGUUUCCAGCCCUUUAUGUCUGAGUGCCUUGCUGACUUCCUUUCUCUCCACAGGUUAAGUUUAAGUGGAUUUUUCCCAGUCGCUCGACACACUUUUAGGCCCCUUCACCUGUUUGUUUUCAACAGCGUUCCCGUUCUGAGGCAGAUGUUGCGUUUUCCCAGUUUUCCACCAGCUAAUUGACGUCCUCCUGCAGUCUGCUGCUUUCAUUACUGUAGCUGGCAUUGUUGCAGGAUCUGCCCCUGCCUGGGCUCGCAUCGUCGCAGGCUGCUGCUCUAACAGGAUUAUGGCUCUGAAGUAACGCCGUCCCUGACUUGACCUGUUUUUACCAAACACGCAGGCUUCUACGGGCACAUUUAGUUUCAGAUUUGAAGUAAGAAGCCGUCGGCACCCAAGGUCCGCGUGCCCCUAAC
rnacentral:lncRNA from 1 species